rnacentral:lncRNA from 1 species
CAUCGGAGGGUCUUGCCAGAGCAACCCCAACUCCGAUUUAGGCUUCUUUUGCAGAUCCCGGUGGCGACCGCGACUCCCUCGACUCCAGCUUUUUUGAUGCAGGUGGAUUUUUGCACCAACAGGAUUGGCGCUAGAGGAAGGGCUUUGAACCUCUACAGUACCUUUGUUCUUAAAGGAGUGCUCAACGGGAACACCUCCGGUCAUCUUUUUCGACAUCCUCUCCUCCUUUCCUCACUAGGUCUUCGCCCGAUGCCUCCUCGCAAAGCAUCCACAUGGCGAUCCAUGGCCUCCGCGGCCAGAUCUCAGGCUCCGGUCUCACCUCCAGUUUCUCAGCCUCCUCCCCCUCCUCCGACAAUGGUGGUUGGCGCAGAGCAAUUCGACCUACUGGUGCAGCAAGUCAGAGGCCUCACUGAAGCUGUGCAGGCCAUACAACAGCAGCAGCAGCUGCAGGCA